rnacentral:rRNA from 1 species
GGCCUAACACAUGCAAGUCGAACGGUAACGCGGGGCAACCUGGCGACGAGUGGCGAACGGGUGAGUAAUGCAUCGGAACGUGCCCAGUAGUGGGGGAUAGCUCGGCGAAAGCCGGAUUAAUACCGCAUACGACCUACGGGUGAAAGGGGGGGAUCGCAAGACCUCUCGCUAUUGGAGCGGCCGAUGUCAGAUUAGGUAGUUGGUGGGGUAAAGGCCUACCAAGCCGACGAUCUGUAGCUGGUCUGAGAGGACGACCAGCCACACUGGGACUGAGACACGGCCCAGACUCCUACGGGAGGCAGCAGUGGGGAAUUUUGGACAAUGGGGGCAACCCUGAUCCAGCCAUGCCGCGUGCGGGAAGAAGGCCUUCGGGUUGUAAACCGCUUUUGUCAGGGAAGAAAAGCCUUGAGCUAAUACCUCGAGGUCAUGACAGAACCUGAAGAAUAAGCACCGGCUAACUACGUGCCAGCAGCCGCGGUAAU